AUGGUCAGCAUCGGCUCCUUGCCUAAGAAAACUGAAAUUAAAUGGCGAGUUCCAGGAAUAGAAAAUCCUCCAACCCCAAGGCAGGGUGAGGUGGUGGUCUUUGUUGACCACAUAAGCCGUGGCUUCAAACCGCCAGGGUCAAAGUUUUACCGGGAUGUGCUUGCCAAUUUCCAACUCCAUCCCCAAGACAUUGGGCCCAAUUCAGUAUCCAACCUAUGUAACUUCCAGGUCUUCUGUGAAGCGUACUUACAGGAAGAACCAACUGCAGAACUGUUCCGGGACUUCUUUCACUUAAACCGGCGCACAGAGUUUGUAAAU
rnacentral:rRNA from 1 species